AGCGAACGCUGGCGGCAGGCCUAAAACAUGCAAGUCGAACGCCGUAGCAAUACGGAGUGGCAGACGGGUGAGUAACACGUGGGAACGUGCCCUUUGGUUCGGAACAACACAGGGAAACUUGUGCGAAUACCGGAUAAGCCCUUACGGGGAAAGAUUUAUCGCCAAAGGAUCGGCCCGCGUCUGAUUAGCUAGUUGGUGGGGUAACGGCCCACCAAGGCUACGAUCAGUAGCUGGUCUGAGAGGAUGAUCAGCCACACUGGGACUGAGACACGGCCCAGACUCCUACGGGAGGCAGCAGUUAGGAAUCUUGGACAAUGGGCGCAAGCCUGAUCCAGCCAUGCCGCGUGAGUGAUGAAGGCCUUAGGGUUGUAAAGCUCUCUCAGCGGGGAAGAUAAUGACGGUACCCGCAGAAGAAGCCCCGGCUAACUUCGUGCCAGCCGCCGCGGUAA
rnacentral:rRNA from 1 species